GAUUUCCACUCAUUCUCUCAUUCACCUGAAACGAGAAGAAAAUAAAGAGGGCUAUGAUUUUUGAAGAUUUAGAGUUAGGGUUUAUGCUUCUGAGAUAAAAAUUGAAGAAAAUUGGGGUCUCGAAUGGAGAGGAUGAAGUUGAUAUGCUAUUUUUGGAGAUCAAGAAUCUUGCAAUCAGGUGGAAAUGCAAGAUUUUGGUCUGCCUGACUUUUAAAGCCAGGUUUAUGCUAUCUUAAAAAAAAAAAUCAUACAAGUACAAGAUAAGUUUACAUACAUGUUUCGUCUUACAUUUAUAUAAUUUUUAAAUUCAAAACUUCAAAUGCAUCUCAUUAUAAACUCCAAACUUACUUUUUUCAGAAUCAUUUGUUGUAGGUUCUUAAAAGCAAGCCUGACAUUGGAAGGAAACCAUGGCCAAGCAUAAGCCACUGUGCUAGAGAUUUGUAAAGAAGUUAAUGCUGAUGGAUCUUUGUGCAGGACUGACUGCAGCCCAAGCCUCUUAUCAUGGGUUGGAUGGUACAUUAAGGAAAUUCCUCAGAGUCUUUGGAAUGAUAAAGCAGGAAAACACCUGGUGCCGCAGCCAGUUACAAAAACUGAAAUGCUGUGUAUAGAGCGGGUUAAUCUUCUAAAUAAGGAGCUUAAGGUAGACUUGGUACUGUGGUGGACUUCAGCUCAAUUCUCUGUUAAACUGUGUAUUCUUGAGAUAAGUCUAUAAAAUAUUUCGGACGAAAUUCAGCUGGAUAAUUCAUAGAUUGGUUUUCCAGUUUUCAUAUACAUCCUCAGAGAGACUGAUUUGUAUUGGAAGGUUGGUACGUGGUUGAGUUUUGCUUAGCAGAAAUUGUGCUUCAAAGGACUUUAAUUUUGGGGUUGGUGCUCGGGCAGCAAUUCUGCAAGGUGUUAAACAGGUUGCAAGUACGGUGGAGGUCACAACGGGGCCUUAGAAUGAAUUCUAAGAGGCAGAAUCAUGAUUCUGGUACGCCAUAUUUGGGCAAAUGUUUAUAACAAUAAGAAAGUGGUGCUGAAUUGAGAUGCAUUCCUGAUGCCAAUACUUGCUGUCUCCAACUUUUUGGCGGAGUUCAAGCCAAUCUUUCAGGUACGGCUGGCGUGUGUGAUUGGAAAAAGAUUCGCUUUUAUCAAUCUGUGUUCUAUUGGAGCUGCUAGUACUCUGUGAACAGCUAAUACAAAAGAUGUAAGGCUACUAAGAUGGUACAAGAAUUUAGGCAACAACUAAUGAUAAUAAAAAAGGAAUUUUUCGAAAUAACAAGUACAUACGAGGAAAAGGUUUGCUCAAUGCAGUAGAGCUUAGUAGGAAGUGUUGCUCCUGUCUUUUCUCAUGAUGUUUGUCUCCACCAAAAAAAAUAAAGAUGAACUCUUGUUCUGAUGAGCCCAAGAGCAUGUAAUACUCAUCUAGAGCUGCUUCCUAUCAUGGAAGGUGGGAAAAAAUUGACAAGAAAAACGUAAAGGGGAGGAAGGCCGAAGGUGUGAAUGACAAAAAUUCUAAUUCUUCAAGGCAGGGCAUUGAAGAUAUGAGAAAUUGGCAUAGGCGGAAAUAUUAUAUCAAGGACAAGUGUACUGAUCUCAUUCUAUCUAAUAAAUCUACCCCGUGUUAGAGCUUCUGUGACCUAUUCGUAGUCUCCAAUUGACAUAGCUUUUGUUACUACUAAAUGAGACAUCUGUAC